AGUGGUUAGGAUUCGGCGCUCUCACCGCC
rnacentral:piRNA from 5 species